UACGUAGGGUGCAAGCGUUAAUCGGAAUUACUGGGCGUAAAGCGUGCGCAGGCGGUUAUGUAAGACAGAUGUGAAAUGCCCGGGCUUAACCUGGGAACUGCAUUUGUGACUGCAUGGCUAGAGUGUGUCAGAGGGGGGUAGAAUUCCACGUGUAGCGGUGAAAUGCGUAGAGAUGUGGAGGAAUACCGAUGGCGAAGGCAGCCCCCUGGGAUAACACUGACGCUCAUGCACGAAAGCGUGGGGAGCAAACAGG
rnacentral:rRNA from 1 species